GACGAACGCUGGCGGCGUGCUUAACACAUGCAAGUCGAACGGUGAUCUUGGGAGCUUGCUCCUGGGUGAUCAGUGGCGAACGGGUGAGUAACACGUGAGUAACCUGCCCCUGACUCUGGAAUAACUUCGGGAAACCGAAGCUAAUACCGGAUAUGACACAGAGCCGCAUGGUUUCUGUGUGGAAAGUUUUUUCGGUUGGGGAUGGACUCGCGGCCUAUCAGCUUGUUGGUGAGGUAAUGGCUCACCAAGGCGACGACGGGUAGCCGGCCUGAGAGGGCAACAGGCCACACUGGGACUGAGACACGGCCCAGACUCCUACGGGAGGCAGCAGUGGGGAAUAUUGCACAAUGGGCGAAAGCCUGAUGCAGCGACGCCGCGUGAGGGAUGAAGGCCUUCGGGUUGUAAACCUCUUUCAGUAGGGAAGAAGCGCAAGUGACGGUACCUACAGAAGAAGCACCGGCUAACUACGUGCCAGCAGCCGCGGUAAGAC
rnacentral:rRNA from 1 species